GGAGAGGUUCCCGAGUGGUCAAAGGGGGCAGGCUGUAAACCUGCUGGCAAUGCCUUCGGGGGUUCGAAUCCUCCCCUCUCCA
rnacentral:tRNA from 1 species